rnacentral:lncRNA from 10 species
CCCCUCUCUGUUUCCUUCCUGCCACAUUUAUUAACCUCUCCCAAAAGAGCAUUUCAAGGAACACCGUUUAGGAAAUGCAGCCACAGAAUAAUAAAGGAACAGACUCACUAAGAGUGCAUUGUGUCCCUGCAAGCUGCAUCUCGUUUAUAAUACUAACGCUGCAGAAGGCAUACUGGGAUGCUUGUUUCUAAAGGAGAUUUGAAGCAAGCUGGCAGGCAGCACUAGGUGGAAUAAAAAGAUAAGUUCUUAAUAAAAAGAUGUAUGCAGAAAGGUGUUAUUAUCUGGGCUCGAGACCUAGCAUGCUGCCGCAAGACCUGACCUCUGAAAGACAACUGCUCCUCCCCGAGCCACAAAGCAAUGUGAACAGAGAAUCCCUGGAUUUGUAAGCCGGGAACGCAACCCCAGGCGACACAGAGACCAGCAAGCAGUAACCUGGCAACCGAGCGUGGAUGCUGGCAGAGGAGCCCCUCUCCUUCGACUCCUGCCCCUCCUUCCCCUCCCUCACAGGCGCAGACUCGGGGGGAGGCGCAGGGCCGCCUGCUGUUCUGAGAGGGAGCUGCGCGUAUCUAGGCUGAGGGCCUUUCUGGUACAGCCUUCCGCUGCCGUCAAUGCUGCUUCUGCCCCAGCUCCCAGGGCAGGUAACGGGAUUCCCUUGGCGCCGUGUUUGAGAACCGCCCAGGGCUCCCUUCCCGUGGUGGGAAGAGGGUUGCGCUGUUUCCCACAGUGUCAGUGAGUCGCCCUGGGCAGACAGGCUUUGUUCUUCCCUGGGCGGUGGGGUCUGUCUCUCGCGGAACACAGAGCCUGGGGUUGCCUGAGCCAGGAGGAUCACCUGUUUCACCAUCAAAGGUGACACGCGGAGGAGCUGCUAUAUCUACCUCACCCAGCGUAGAGAGCUCCAGAAAUCUUUCUUUCCUAGCUAGAAACUAACGACUUGAGAAUUCUGUAGAACAGCAGCAACAAAAAUAUCUUUGCAGCAGCUUUGGCCACGUGAAUUGUCUUGGACGCAGCCACGUCGUAUCCAUCCCCGUUGAAUUUGCUUUGCUGGGGACCUCGCGGGUCUGAUGUCCCAUGUGUGGUAAGGGAGACACACCUCCUGGGAAGCUCAGUGCCUCCCCCUGGAGACAGAUGUGGGCAUCUGCACCUGCACAGGGGGAAUGGUCUAAAAAACCAGGUGGAGGAGACCCCGGCAGGACGGCAAGCGGAGCGGGCACAUUUAGAUAGGAGAAAAAGACUGAUCUCCAGUAAAGUCAGCAGUGCUAGCAACAAGGAAUGCAGGCGCGGCAGGAGGCAGGACUCGGGAU